GACGAACCUUGCUAACGUUAUUCGGAAUCACUGGGCUUAAAGGGUGCGUAGGCGGUGCAGUAAGUUGGGUGUGAAAUCCCUCGGCUUAACCGAGGAACUGCGCCCAAAACUACUGUGCUUGAGGGAGAUAGAGGUGAGCGGAACUGAGGGUGGAGCGGUGAAAUGCGUUGAUAUCCUCAGGAACACCCGUGGCGAAAGCGGCUCACUGGGUCUCUUCUGACGCUGAGGCACGAAAGCUAGGGGAGCAAACGGG
rnacentral:rRNA from 1 species